rnacentral:misc_RNA from 1 species
AAAAUUAACUAAGACUUAAAUCUCACAAACACAUUAUUCCUCACAAACCCCAAAUCCAGAACCCAUCACGAAAUUAACAUCCAGACCUAACAAUAACCACGGAGAAGGCAGCACAAAAACUUGACAGAGCUGUCCUUCAUUUAUCUCUUCCAACACCUAGUACCUGUAGUGAGGGGGCUUGUAAGGACCAGCAGCAGGCACCAUGAUGUAGUCGGCCUGCUCAGGGGUGAGCUUUGUCAGUUUCGCUCCAAGCUUGUUGAGAUGCAGGGCAGCGACCUUCUCAUCAAGGUGCUUCGGCAGCACAUACACCUUCUUCUCAUACUUACCACUGGCCUUCUCAUUCCACAACUCAAGCUGAGCAAUCACCUGGUUAGUGAACGAGCAAGACAUGACAAAGCUAGGGUGACCAGUAGCGCAUCCCAAGUUCAUGAGACGUCCCUCAGCAAGAACGAUGAUUCCGCUGUUGGUGUCAGGGAAGACCCAGCGGUCAGUCUGGGGCUUGAUGGUGAUACGCUUAACGCCGGGGAAGGUCUCCAAACCAUGCAUAUCAAUCUCGUUAUCGAAGUGACCAAUGUUGCAG